GCAGACACAUUCCAGCCAAUCAGCAGCAGACCCUCCCUCCCAAACCCUCCCACCUCCUGGACAGCAUCCAUUUUGAAGCUGCAUUCUUAGUGAGCUGUCCAGGAGGUGGGAGGGUCUGGGAGGGAGGGUCUGCUGCUGAUUGGCUGGAAUGUGUCUG